UGCGAACAUCCUCAUUUGCCUCUAUCUGCAUUGCUUUUGUGCGACAUCGCCAAAGACAUGCUGUGAUAAGAUCAAAUGUGGAGCAAUGUUGAAGGUGUUGGGGAAUGGAUUUGCGAAGUGCAGCUAUGUCGAGGCGUCCAAAGAAGAAUGAUCGUUGAAUCAAGUUGUGGUUGGAAGAAGGGAGGGUAUCUUGGAUUUGCUCGUAUUCAGGAUGGUUGCGUGUAAUGCGAGGUGGAUCUCUUGCCAUUAGGAGCUCCCUACGCCAUACUGGUGCAAUGGAAGGUUUGGUUGCUCCUCUAGCCAUUUCGACCCAAGCGUUCAUGAAUUGUUGGUAACCAAAACCAUCAGCCAUGGUGUGGCUAAAGCGGAGAGCCAAGAUGAAACCACCACACUUGAGUCGUGUCACCUGCAUUUAUAUUCCAUCUUCAACAAUUCAGACAAUUUCAUUGUUUAACUCUCACAUUAAUUACGAAAUUAUAAUAUAUAUAUAUAUAUAUUUAAGAUAUCAAAACUUUAUUUUAAAUUGAGUAACUUAAGAGAAAUUAGCUAAAAUGAAAAAGUAACCGGAAUAAUUUCAAUAUAUGUCAAUUUAAUUAUUUAAUUUUAGUAAACUAAACACUUGUGCACGUGAUUUUAGUGAUUUUUUAUUUUGAAAAAUAAGUGAAUAAUAGAUAUUUUGAGUUGUUUUUAUAUUUUACUUUUUUAAAAAAACAAAUUUCAAAUGGUAGAUUUUGACAGAAUUUAAUUGGGGAGUAACAAAUAAUUAUAUCAGAAUUCAGUUCUUAAAAUUAAAAAAAAAAUCUAGAAAAUGAAUAAAACAUGUCUUAGUUUGAUGAGUAUGUGUAGUGAACCUGUACGAGUAGAAGGGGAGUUUCGGUAAUUUGUUGUGAGCAAGGAACAUCGUACAUCAGUUCAUGGAAGCAUGGGAAUGGAGGCUGGAGAGAAUCACCAAACUCAGCCAGUGUGACGUCAGCAUCAGCCUCGAUGAACAUGGCUCCUUCUCCAGUGCAAUCCACCAUUAAUUUGCGUUGAGGUCCUUCCCUAAGCCUACCUGCAAAUGGGUAAUAGAAGACAAGUGUUUGCGACAGUGCUUGCCGAAUCACUUCAACUGGGUCUUUCUCUGCCAUUGAUUCCUGCUUUCCAUAAAUUUGUAUCAUUGGAAUGUGGAAACGCAGGGCUUCUUGAUCAUCAAUGUCGGAAAGUAGCUUGAGUUCAUGAGGAGUGGGGAUAGCAGGAGCCACCAGCUGAGGUUCGCACCUUCGCACUGUAAACUUUAGAGAAGAAGAAGAGAAAGAAGAUGAUAAAGAUGAGGCCAUGAGAAUUAUGAGAGAAGAGAAGAGAAGAAAAAUGAAGCAAAUGGAUUUUGGUUGAGUGACUGUGAGUUCCUCGGACUUAGGCUGCAACCCUUUAUAGAUGGAAAUCAUUCUCAUCAAAUAAAUUCGAAACACGUUUUCAUGAUGAGCAAUAAUACUUUUUAUCUAGAUAAUCAUUCAUUAUAAGAUAUAGACAUUGAAGUGAAUUAUUAUUAUUAAACUAAAGUUUAUAAAUAUAAAUUAAAGUUAAACAUAAGUUUGCAUAUAAGAUUAUUUAUGAAAGGUCAGACAUCAAUACGAAAAUGGACCCAAAGUGUCGCACAGCCACAAUAUAACCUGACCUUAUCAAGUGCUUAUCUGAAAGAAAAAAAAGUUACUAAAAAAAACAUGUAGUCUGAUCACGGUGAAGGACGUAAAAAUUGUGUAAAAUUAAAAAAAGUUACAGUAAGUUGUCAGAGGUCGUGAAUUAAAUAGUUACAGUAAGUUGUUAUGUUGUUCUAAGUUUUAGAAGGUUAGGUUGUUUAGAAGGGAGGAACUCAUCAUCCACUUCUAUUCCUUUCUUGGAAAUAGAGAAUGAGGGACAGCCGUGAACGACGAUACUCCGGUGUAUGGCGACAAUGCCAAGGUGGAUGGAGGGAGGACCAACGGGGGAAGCGGAUCGUAGAGACAAACAAAGCGUCCUCAAACGAAAGCUCGACUUUUUUCUUCUCAAAUUUUCCAAGUACCCAUGGUGAGUAUGACAUGUUGAAGAUUUUUCAGAGAUGGGCUAGGGUGAAAGAGGUAUUCAUUUCCAAACAUAGAAAUAGGUGGGGAAGAAGGUUCGGGUUUGUGAGAUUCUUUAUGGUACCGAACGUGUUCAAACUAGAGAAGGAGUUGGAUCAGAUCUUCAUUGGUGAUAUGAAACUUUAUGUUAACUUGCCAAAAUAUAGGAGAUCUGAGCAUUUUCAACAAGGGGGGGCGCCACUUGCGGAAGGCAAGGAUAAGCACCAUGCUCAUAGACCAAAAGGGCAAUUGAGGGGCAAGGAAUGGAGAGUAGUAAAAGGGAAGGGUGGUAACAGGGACCAUCUAGUGAAGCAGUCGUAUGCUGAAGUUGUUAGGAAACAGUCACAAGACCAGUGGACGGGACCAAGUAUUGACACUACUUCAAAAGUUCUCCCAUGGAUGUCAUAUAGUGCAGUAGGUUGGAUGGUACCGGAUUUAAACUAUACGGCUCUGUGUGAAGAGUUUAUCAAAGGGGGUAUGGCUAUGAUUAAGGUGAGACCUAUGGGAGAUAACCUUGUUCUCUUGACUCCUAGGGAAGGUGAAAGCAUGGAAGAUAUUAUUAAGCUGAAUAAAAGUUGGUUUACAAGUGCCUUCGAGGAAAUUGAACCGUGGUCUACGUCAGUUGUAGCGACCCAUAGGCUGGUAUGGGCGAGGUGCUAUGGACUUCCUAUUUCACUAUGGAAUAAGGAUUGUUUAUCUAAGUUGGUCGAAGGCAUCAGUCAAUUUCUUUGGAGGGGUGAAUAUCGAUCUCAUAAAUGGGGCUUUAUGCCCAGUUCGUUCCUUUCGCGAGUGCGCGGACAAAGGGGGACCUUCUAUCUGUCUGCAACAUAAUCAUAUUGGAUUACCAGGAGAAUCAAGUAGUGUGGACAGUUCAACGCCGAAAAAGAAAGAAGAAUUUGAUGAUAAAAUUAACUCAAGGGCAGAAGCAGAAUCCAAUACACCAGAGAGUGUGCGUAGACUCCGAAACCUGUGGGAGCAGGGCACGAAACAGUCCUGUGUGCGAUGGAGAUCGAAGGGAGGUUUAGGACCACUACAUUAUGGCGUCAAUUCUUCAUCUAGGUUAAGUCGCUGCUCCUUUGCUGAAUCUGAAAGUGACAUUGAACUUUGUAAUAAUAGAUUGAGAAUUGAGGAUACUGUUGAUGAGCCAGUACAGAUUUGGGAUGCGGGCAAACGGUUAGGUUUGAGGUGUUCAGGGGAGGAGGUGAAUGUUGUAGUAGAACUGGAAUGUAUGGAAGUUAGGGACAAGGAAGUCAGAAAAUGUGCAGAGGAGGGCACCAACCCCGUUGGUUUAUGAUUAUUGUUGAUCUUAAUAUUAGGGGGUGGGGGGGGGGGGGUACCAAAACAAAUUAUCUGAAACAUUGUAUUACUAAGGAGAAUGCGGAAUUUGUGUGUUUGCAGGAGACAAAAACUACGACUUUCUCAGAUAUUAGAUGUUUCUCACUUUGGGGAACAAUAAUAUUGGUUGGAUACAUUAUGAAGGCAAUAAUGGAGCUGGGAGUAUGAUCUCCAUGUGGCAGAAAGAUAAAUUUUGCUAUGAGACGCAUGUUGUGGGGACUGGAUUCAUUGCGGUAGUAGGUCAACAUAUUCAUUCUGGUCACAGGUGCUUCGUGGUUAAUGUUUAUGCAGCUUGUAAUCUUAGAGCAAAAAUAACUUUAUGGGAAGAUUUAUCGUCUUUCAGGCGGACCUAUCAGAACAUGGCUGGUUGUUAUUGUGGAGACUUUAAUGCUGUAAGAAGGGAAGAUGAAAGGAAAGGUAUUGGUAGGGGAACCAGCCAGAGGAAGGAGAUGAGUGGCUUUAAUGACUUUAUUGACACAAACUGCUUGGUGGACAUACCAACUGCAGGCAAAAAGUUUACUUGGUUCAAACCAAAUGGUACUGCUAAAAGUAGGUUGGAUAGAUUUCUUGUGUCUGAAGAGUGGAUUCAGUUUUGGCCUUUCUACAAGCAAUAUGUGCAGCAAAGAACUGUGUCCGAUCACUGUGCUAUUGUGGCGAAAUCUUGGGUUAAAGAUAGGGGUCCUAAACCCUUUCGUUCGAUCGAUGCUUGGUUUUUGGAGCCAGGAUUCAAGGCGUAUGUACAAGAGAAAUGGGGCUCAUACAAUAGCCAGGGUAACAACAUAUCUAGCUUCAAGGACAAACUAAAAUUGCUGAAGGCUGAUUUGAAAGUGUGGAAUAUGAAAGUGUUCGGGUGUUUACAGACAAAUCAAAGGCAAAUCCUGAAGGAAAUUGAGAACAUUGACGUUAAGGAUGAUAAUGAAGGUCUAGAGGAGCAUGAUCGACUAAAACGAUUGGAGUUACUGAGUCAGCUACGAUUGGUUGAUAGUAAGAUGGAUUCUCUUUCAAGGCAGAAAGCAAGAGCAAAUUGGUGUAAGUUUGGGGACAUAAACUCCAGAUUUUAUCAUACAACUAUCAGAUGGAGAAGACUGAAGAACGAAGUUAAAGGAGUGGAAGUUGGGGGGCAAUGGUGUGAAGAACCGGAAGUGGUUAGAAGGGAAGCAAAGUCUUUGUUUGAAAAAAGGUUCACAGCUACACAAGAUUCUGGAGUUAAUCUGAGAUCUGUGGAGUUUAAAUGCCUUCCCCAAGAAAUCAGCAUAAGCAUGGUUGCAAGUUUCACAGAGGAAGAAGUAAAAGAAGCAGUGUGUCAAUGUGAAGGAACAAAGAGUCCAGGCCUGGAUGGAUUCAAUUUCACGUUUAUUAGGAAUUGCUGGGAUUGCCUUAAAAGUGACAUUAUGGAAGCUUUGCACUUGUUCCAUGAAAAUGGAGUUAUACCAAAGGAUUGUAAUGCCUCUUUUAUAGCCCUGAUACCUAAAGUGCCUGAUCCCUUAUCUUUAGACCAGUUUAGGCCCAUUUCCCUGGUAGGCACUUUUUAUAAGAUCGUCUCUAAGGUCCAAGCGGGACGUAUGAAGGGUGUUCUUCCUUUGGUUAUUGAUGAAAACCAAUUAGCUUUUUUGAAGAACAGAGGUCUGCUUGAUAGUGUACUCAUGGCAAAUGAGGUGGUGGAGGAGGUUAGGAGGAACCGGAGAAGUGCACUCUGCUUUAAAGUGGACUAUGAAAAGGCAUAUGAUUCUGUAAGGUGGAACUUCUUAUACGACAUGUUACAAAGGCUAGGCUUCCAUAGCAAUUGGGUGAGGUGGGUUAGAGGGUGCUUGGAAUCGGCUUCCAUUUCGGUGCUUGUCAAUGGAAGCCCAACAGAGGAAUUUAUCCCGUCAAGAGGGCUGAGACAGGGUGAUCUUAUGGCUCCUUUUUUGUUUCUCGUGGUUGCUGAAGGUUUGGCUGGGCUUGUGAGACAAGCGACUAAGCUAAAAAUGUUAACAGGCGUGAAGGUGGGAAGGAAGGAAAUAGAGUGCAGCAUGCUCCAAUUCGCAGACGACACUUUGCUCAUGUGUGAGGAUAAUUUUUCAAAUGUGUUCACGAUAAAGACGAUCCUAAGAUGUUUUCAACUAGUCUCAGGUUUGAAAAUUAAUUUUCAUAAGUCCAAAUUGGCAGGGAUAAAUGUGGAUAGGUUCACUCUGGAAACUUAUGCCAAGUCUCUCAAUUGUUUUACAAUGCGCAUGCCUUUCAAGUACUUGGGGUUAGAAGUAGGAGGGAACCCAAGGAAGGUACAGUUCUGGGAACCGGUUGUCAAUAAGGUCAGAGCUAGGCUUAGCACUUGGAAAGGGAGGCGCUUAUCUAUGGCGGGUAGGAUUUGCCUGAUCAAAUCUGUGUUCACAUCUAUUCCCCUUUUCUACUUAUCUUUCUUUAAAGCUCCGAUCUCGAUCUGUAAUACAAUCACGAGCAUCCAAAGGAGUUUUCUGUGGGCCUGGGGUAGAGAUAAUAAAUCUAUACCUUGGGUAAGUUGGGGGAAAAUUUGUAAACCUUUUGAGGAAGGUGGUCUGCGUAUCAAGGAUAUCAGGAAAUUCAACUAUGCGUUGAUGGCGAAAUGGAAAUGGAGGCUAAUGAGUGAUGAGAAGGGGAAAUGGAAAGAUAUUUUGGAGUCCAAAUAUAUGGUCACUCUUGGUGGUGGAGAGACUUAGAAAAAAUAUGUAGGGAGGGUAAUGGUGUAGGCUGGUUUCAACAAGCUGUUAAAUGGAAUGUCAGAUCUGGGGACUUAGUUCGUUUAUGGGAGGAUCCUUGGAUUAAUGACAAUAAACUCAAGGAUUUAUUUCCUAGGUUAUACUCUAUUUCGCUGAAUCAAGGGAUGACGGUGGGUGAAACUGGUUAUUGGGAUGAUCAUGGGUGGACCUGACAUUUGAACUGGAGAAGGGAGAGAUUUUGCUGGGAGUCGGAUGUGGAGGAAUAAUUAUUAACAAUUCUAGCCAGGGAAGUUUUGGUUAAGGAUGCUAAAGAUUUUAUUACUUGGAGUGGGGAUUCCAAGGGGUUAUUCUCGGUAAAAUCAGCAUAUGGUCUCUUAACCAAUCAGGUUUCUGAACCGAGUAAUGCUGUUUUUAGUCUGUUAUGGAGGACCAAAGCUGUCCCAAAAGUGUUAACCACGGCCUGGAGAAUCUUGCUGGACAGAAUUCCGACUUAUCAUAAUCUUGUGGUACGAGGAAUAGUGGUGAAUUCACCUCUGUGUGUAUUCUGUAACUUGCAAGUUGAAUCCACACAACAUUUGUUUUUGUAUUGUGCUUUUGCUUACUGUGUAUGGAUGAUGUGCUACCAAUGGAUAGGUGUAGUGGGAACACAAAAUAGGGACAUUUGUAAUCACUUUCUGAACUUUCACUUAACUAAUAUGUCUGAAAAACAGAAUCAGGUCUGGAGGGGAGUGUGGGUGGCCAUCACACGAAGCAUAUGGGAGCAUAGGAAUAAUGUUAUCUUCAGACAAGAAGUUCCCGAUCCCGAAGAAACUCUACAAGCAGCUCAACUUAUAGUUUGGCUAUGGCUAAAACAUAAGGAAAGCUCGUUCUCAUAUUCUUUCUCUGAUUGGAUCCUUAACCCAUUUCAAUGUCUAUUGAGUGUUUGUUAAAUAGGGGAGGGAUGGUGUAUGCUAGUAUUUAUACACUAUUGUGGGGCUGGUUUGUGGCAGGUUUAGGGUAGUUGGUGGUCGCCGAAGGUAUGCAUCAUCGCCGUUUUUGAAGAAGGCCAACAUGAACGCCGGACGAUAAAGAGGCGUUCUCCAUGCCUGCGUAGUCGGUGGUCGUCGAAGUGGUGCAUCAUCGCCGUCUUUGAAGAACAGAAGUUCAUUUGAAGUGAGGGGCGAUGUGGAUGAGGACACGUGGAAGGCCAAUAUGAUCGCCAGUCGAUAAAGCGGCGCUCUCCAUUCGUGCGUAGUUGGUGGUCGUCGAAGGUAUGCAUCAUCACCGUGUUGAAGAAGGCCAACAUGAUCGCCGGUCGAUGUGGCGGCGAUCUCCGUGCGUGCAUAGUCGGUGGUCGCCGAAGCUGUGCAUCAUCGUUGUCUUAGAAGAACAGAAGUUCAGAUAUUGGAAGUGAGGGGCGAUGUGGAUGAGGACACGUGGAAGGCUAGUAUUAUCGUCGGUCGAUAAAGCGGCGCUUUCCAUGCGUGCGUAGUCGGUGGUCGCCGAAGGUAUGCAUCAUCGCCGUUUUUGAAGAAAGCCAACAUGAUCGCCGGACGAUAAAGAGGCGUUCUCCAUGCGCGCGCGUAGUCGGUGGUCGCCGAAGUGAAGCGGCGAUCUCCGUGCGUGCGUAGGCAGUGGUCGCCGAAGUUAUGUAUCAUCGCCGUACUUGAAGAACAGAAGAUCAGAUAGCCGGAAAUCGUCGUGGUAGGCACAUCGCCGGGUUUCCAGAAAGCUUAAUUGAAGCUGUUAGAGGUUUACGUAUAAAACUGAAGACCUAGGCAGGAGGUAUUUUAUGUUCACUGUCAUAGGAGGUUGAGAGAGGCAGCACUAGCCAUUGGGUGUGGAGGUUGCGGAAAGUCACUCUCCAAGUACCAUUCAACAUGGUGGGAGGACCUAAUGGUGUUAUGGUGGUGUGAAAUUGUUGUUUAGUGUUUUGAAACAGUCCAACAUUACAAUAGUAGUAGAAUGGAGCAGUUUUUAUGAUAUAUCUUUUUAUCCCUUGUUUUGGGAUACCUCGUGGAGGUCCUAAAAAACAGGGUUUGGGUUUUGUAAAGGGUUGGAAUACCCCUUUUGUAUCCCCUUAAUUUAAUUUAAUUCUUUGCUGAUAAAAAAUAAAAAAAAUAAUAAAAAUAAAAAUAAUCUUGAUCUUGAUCUUAGAAAUUAAUUUAUAUUUAAAUUAACAUUUUAAUAUAAUAUUAGUUAUGUAAUUUUCCUAUAAAAUCACUUGGUUGAUACACGAUAUUAGAGUUGAACUCAAUACCAAAUAUCAAUUAUACAUGUUUGUUUUUUAAGAUAAUGACAAAUAGUUAAAAUUUGAUAUUAAAAUUUUGAUAUGUUGAGAGUUAUUUUUUUUUUCUUAAAAAAUAUUUUUGGUGUUCGAACUCUUGUACAAACUCAAAAAAAAAUCUGGAACAUGUAAAAAGAACAAUUAAUAUUAAAGCUGCAAUGUGAAGUCCCUAUUUAUCAAGACAUGACAGGAACUUAUCAAGAUUCUAAAAGCUGGAUCCCAAACACUCUUAAGAGUUAUCGAAAGAAUGUUAUCCACGAAAGAAAAAUGAUGAAUGUAUUUCUAUAAUUUGACAAUCAUCACGCGUGCCACAUUUAAUGAAAAGUGAUUUCUGACAGACGUACACCAAUACAACUAGUAUUCCCUACCGUGGUGUUCGUACUAUGAAACCUUAAAAUUCAACCAAAAAUAUCAACACUUAAACUUUCAGUUUAAAAGUGCGAGAAAAUUUGAAAAAAGAUUAUUUUAAUAAAUUAAUCUUUUAUAAUAUAAUUUUCUUUCAUUAAUAAUUACAUUUUGUAAAUAAAUAAUUAAGACAAAUAUUAUAAUAAAAAAUAAAUAUUAAUAUUUUAUUUUAAUAAUAAAUUGAAAAUUUAUUUUAUUUAAAUUAAUUUAUUAUCAUUUUAAAAUAUAAUUUUUUAUAUAUUAAAAUAUAUAAUAAUUUAUUCUUUUAAUUUAAAUUUUAUUUACAUUUUAAAAAUUACUUUUUAUAUUAAAUUUUAUUACAAAAAUCAUUUUUAUCAAUUAAAAUUUUAACUAUAUCCAUCACAUCACUCUCGUAAACUUUCAUAAAGUUUUCUUUCAUUUUCAUAAUUUAUCUUAAUCUAAACAACCUUACUUUCUUUACAUUUUUUUUUUCAAAUCCACUAUCUCAUCCAAACAAAGAAGUUCUACAAAUAUACUAUUCAUCAAAGAUGAAAAAGUGAAAGACACACAUGUUUUGAUCUAUUUAUUUACACUAAAAUAAGAGUGAGUAAUAAUGUAAAAAGUUAUUGUUCACACGCUCACUCAUUUGUAAAGAAAGACGAAAACCCUAUCCCUAAUGUUUAGCCCAAACACUAAUCUCUAACCCUAAUCACACCUUUAACCAUAACCCUACCCGUAACACAACCCCACAACCACCAAACCUACCAAGCAUCCCUUAAUUCUAAACAAUAAUCCAUAACCAUGAUGCAUAUACGAAUACGUAAAAACCUAAACAUACUAAAAUUAAUAUAAAUAGUAUAAGUAAAUAAACAAAUGGUUCAAGUAUCAAUAAAUUACAAAAUGAUUAACUUUUAGAUAAAUAAAUAACAAUAAACAGUUUUGUAAAAGAAAUAUUCAUCCCAAAAAGACGAAUAACUCAAAAACAAUUUUAUCUUUUUUGAAAUCAUUAACAUACAAAAAUUAUUCUAUUCCCUUCAAAUUUUGUUGAUUUAUUUAUUUUAAAUUUUGUUUACGCAGAACAUCAAAAUAUUUUAGAUUUGUAUUUAUUUAAGAUUUUGAAUAAGUUAAUAAUUUUAUUUAUUUAUGAUACUAAAUAUUUACGGUUUCUCUUUUUAUUUAGGAUUUUGAACAAAUUUAGGAAUUUAAUUUGUUUAUGAUUUUUAUUUAAUUUGAACAUUAAAUAAUUUUUAAAAAUUAGAAAUUUUAUUAAUUUUAAAUUUUUAUUUAAGAACGCAAUUAAAUAAUGACAUUAAAUAUUUAUGUUUUCUGUUUAUUUAGGAUUUUCUAUUAAUUUAAAAAUUUAAAUUAUUUCAUAUUUUUAUUUAAGUAAAAUAUUAAAUAAUUUAAGUUUAUUUAUUUAGGAUUUUGAAAAUAAAUAAAAAAAUAUUUAUUUUUUUAUAUUCUUUAAGUAGGAAAUACAAUAACUUAGAAUUUUGAAAAACUUAAAUUUUUUAUUAAUUUUAGAUUUUUAUUUAAGAAUGUAAUUAAAUAAAUUAGGAUGUUGUAUCUAUUUAGUAUAUUUAGUAUUUUGAAUACUUUAGAAAUUUUAUUAAUUUUUUAUUUUUUAUUUAAGAAUGAUAUUUUUUUUUUGGAUUUAUUAUAAUUUAGAAUUUUGAGAAACUUAUAAAUUUUAUUUAUUUUAGAUUUUUAUUUAACUGGAAAUACAAUAAUUUAAGGCUUUUAAAAACAUAGAAAUUUAUUUGGUUUAGAUUUUUAUUUAUGUAUGACAUAAAAUAAGUUAGGGUUUGUAUUUAUUUAGAAUUUUGAAUAACUUAGAAUUUUUUUUUAUUUCACACUUUUAAUUAAGUAGAACCUUAAAUAAGUUAAGAUUUGUAUUUAUUUAAAAGUUUGAAUAAUUUAGAAAUUUUAUUUAUUGAAAAUUUGUAGUUAAGUAAGAUAUUAAAUAAUUUUAAUUUGAAUUUAUUUAAGAUUUUGAAUAAUUUUAGAAUUUUAAUUAUUUUAUUUUUGUAUUUACGUAUGACAUAAUUAAUAAUUUAGGGUGUCUAUUUAUUUUUAGAUUUUAAAUAAUUUUGGAAUUUAAUUUAUUUCAUAUUUUUAUUAAAGUAGAACAUUAAAUAAUUUAGGUUAUGUAUUUAUUUAGGAUUUUGAAAAUUUUAAAAGUAUUAUUUAUUUUAGAUUAUUAUUUAAGUAUAAAAUUUAGGAUUUGUAUUUAUUUAGAAAUUUGAAAAGUUAGAAAUUUUAUUAAUUUUAGAUUUUUUUUUAUAAAAAUGACAUUAAAUAAUUUAGGAUAUGGAUUUAUUUAAAAUUUUGAAUAAUUUAGGAAUUUUAUUGUUUUCAAUUUUUGUUUAAGAAUGACACUACAAAGUUUAGGAUUUUUAUUUAUUUAGAAUAAUAAAAAACUUAGAAUUUUAAUUUAUUUUAUAUUUUUUUUAUUUAAGUAGGAAAUAAAAUAAUUUCAGAUCUUGUAUUUAUUUUGGAUUUUAAAUUUUUAAAAAAAAUAAUAUUUAAGAUUUGUUUUAAAGUAUUUAAAUAAAAAAUAAAAUAAUUUAAUAUUUUGUAUUUAUUUAGAAUUUUGAAAAACUUAUAAAUUUUAGGUUAUGAUUUAUGUGUAUUUGAAUUUUGAAUAAUUUAAAAAUUUACUUUAUUUUAGAUUUUAAUUUAAGUAGGACAUUUAAUAGUUUAGAAUUUGUAUUUAGUAAGAUUUUAAAUAAUUUAAGAAUUUAUUUAAGAUAUUUUAUAUAAGUAUGACAUUAAAGAAUUUUAGGAUUUGUAUUUGUUUAGAUUUUUGAAUAAUUUAGAAAUGUUAUUGCAAAUUUUUAUUUAAAUAUGACAUUCAUUUAUUUAGGAUUUCUAUUUGUUUAGAAUUUUGAAUAAUUUAGAAAUUUUAUCUAUUGGAAGUUUUUAUUUUUAUUUAAGUAGGACAUUAAAUAAUUAUUUAUUUUUAUUUAAGAAUAAUAUUAAAUAAUUUAGGAUAUGUAUUUAUUUAUAGUUUUGAAUAAUUUAUUAAAUAGGUUCCUGUAUGUAAAGAACCUACCUUCACUAACCUUCCAUUACUGACGGAACCAAGGAUGAUAAUAAAGACUUCCCUGGUGGUGUCUGGACUGUGUUUUGAAUAAUCGGUUGGUUACCUCCCAGAGAAAAUACUAAGUAAGUUUACCUUCCUCUUUAAUUUUUCCUUCCUUAAAAGGUUGCUUUUAAACACAUGGUAGUAGUUGAAAGUAUUCAACCAUGCUUGUGACAAUUUGUUAAUGUAGCAUAAUUUCCUAAUUCUGAUGAUUAAUAUUUUUAAUCACAUGAUAAAAAUAUGAUGGUACCUAACAUUGCUUUUGUAAAUCACAUCAAUUGAUAUAUGUUCAAGAAGUCAAAGGAAUUAAUCUUUCUAUUAAUUAUGUGUAGGAUGAUAAUACGGGCAUGUUAUGUGAGCUGGCUGCAGUCCGCUAAAAAAAAAAAAAAUACGGGAUGAGUUAAUAAUUUAGCCUUUUGACUUAUUUAGAUCCGUCUCGCAUAACUUGCAGUUUACACGGGUCAACGUGACGCGGGUUGGCUGACCCGCGUAAAUAAAAAAAAUUAUUUUAGUUUUUUAAAUAAAUAAAUUAUACCUCAGUCACUUAUUAUUACAGCGUGACCUUUAUUUUAUUUUAUAAAAAUUAAAUUUAAUGUAAAAAGAGAAUAUUUUAGUUUAAUCAUUUAAGUAAGUUAAUAUUAAGAGUGACAAAACUUUAAUUAUUUUUAAUCAAACCUUAUAACAACUCUCGUACUUGAAUUUCUUUAUAUUUUAAUCUUAACCGAAUGAAUUGAAAUAUGUAUUAAAUUUUAAUUUUUCAGAAGGAAAAAUAUAGUUUUUUAUAAGUACUAAAAUUUUAAUUUUUUUUAUGCAGGCUGGCCCACAGACUACCUCUUAUGUAGGGCGGACAAGUAAAAUAAAUCUACAUUUUUUGUGCAAGGCGGACCAACUCAACCUGUGUUUUGUGGGCUAAACGUGAGAUGGAUCAUAACAGAACAUGUCAACCCACAUUGUCAUCCUUAAUAAUUAUGUGAUAUCUAUACACUUGGAAGCAUGAUAUACUCAACAAUACAUAUUUUCUACUUCUUGGGUUUAUUGGCAUGAUAAUGUUAAAUUAUUUUCUUAUUUUACAGAUAUAGAUUAGCAAUGGUCAUGUCUAUGAAUAUGAAUCGGCACCGCAGAUGCUGUUUCUAUUUGCAACCUUGUGAAGGCUCUUCAGUCCAGAUCCUCGCACAAGGGAAGCUAAGUUCCCCACGUAUAUUAAGAAUUCGCAAAGUAAAAGCUUUUAUGUUUAUAUUACUUGACAAUUGGUGCUGAUAAUUGCAUUAAUAAUAUUUGGAUUUGUUGUUAAGAUGCCUUACUCAUGAUUUCCAAAAAUAUUAAGAAAAUUGUAUAUAAGAAGAUGGUAAAAAAAAUUGAGAUAAUUUUAUUUUUUUAUGGAUUGAAAAUAUAUGCAAGUGUACGAAAAUUUUCUCUUUUCAAAUAAGUAGUAAUUAGUAAAUAUUGUUCAUGAAUCAUAAUAAACACUAACAUAAUUAACAAGUAAAGUAAACAUGAAUACAAUAUAUAAUGUGUUACCUUUUAUUGGAAAUAGCCACUACAACUUUACUUAUUUUUUUUGAAUUUUUUUUUUAGUUAUUGUUCUAACACGAUUUCAACCUCUUGGUUUAUUUUUGGUAAAAUUGUGCUAUGAAACAUGUUUUAGAUUUGAAUUUAUUUAUUUUUAUUUAAUCAACACGAUUUUUUAAAACAUUUUUACAUGUUUUUGUAGAAAUUGUUAGUUGGGAACAUGACCUAACCUUAAUUAUUUUUUGUUUGUUAAAAUAUCUACUUUCAAGCACGUUUUCAACUUUAAUUUUUCCUUUUUUCUUUUUAUUUUACAUUUCUUUUGUUUUAUACCUAAAUGAUUUUUAGUUUUCUGAAAAAAAUUAUUUAAUGGUUUUUAUUUUUUUUUUUACUUUAUUUUUGUCAAUUGUUUCUUAUUUAAUGCAUUUUUUUAUUAAGUUAAAUAUUUGUGUGACAAUCCAAAGAUAUUUUUAUUAACAUUUGUAAUUGGAGAAAGAAAACUUUGAUUUGGUUUUUUCAAUUAUUGUUAAUAUGUUACACGCAAUCAAAUUUAGGCUUAAUAACAAAUAAAAGACCAACUAUCUUAUUAACAUUUGUAAUUGGACAAAGAAAACUUUGAUUUGGUUUUUUCAAUUAUUGUUAAUAUGUUACACGCAAUCAAAUUUAGGCUUAAUAACAAAUAAAAGACCAACUAUCUUAUUAACAUUUGUAAUUGGACAAAGAACACUUUGAUUUGGUUUUUUCAAUUAUUGUUAAUACGUUACACGCAAUCAAAUUUAGGCUUAAUAACAAAUAAAAGACCAACUAUCUUAUUAGCACUACAUUCUUGAAGAAGUUGGUCGAAAGACAUAGGGUUUACUCUUAGUAUAUUGCAUAUAAUAUAUUUCAUCCAACUUCAACUAAAAUAUCAGAGUUCAAUAGUUGAUUAACAUAAUUAUUACGAAGUGGAUUUUAAGCCUAACUCAACCCCAUAAAACCGGCUUUAAUCUCUAGUCGGUGUGGGAUCUCCAACACACCCCCCUCACGUCGAGACUACCUACUCGUGCGUGAGACUAUAUAUUAUGGGUGGGUCCGAUAGCGGGUGGCCUGAUAAGCCCAACAAAUACUCUUGCUAGGAUAGACUCGUAAUGGCUCUGAUACCAUAUUACGAAGUGGAUUUUAAGCCUAACUCAACCCCAUAAAACCGGCUCUAAUCUCUAGUCGGUGUGGGAUCUCCAACAAUAAUUAUUGAUAUUCUUCGAUUUUAGUUACAAAUUACUUCACUAUCAUGUAAAGAUUACAUUAUAUAAUUUGCAAAAUUGUUAUAGGUUACAAAAGGAAUAAGAGGAUCUUAAAGAAGGAACGCAUAGAUCAUAUAUAAAUUUUCACAAUAUUGUUGCAGCUACAAGUCUAGUCAUGGGUCACUUCAAAAGUACGCUUAGCGAGCUUUUCCUACUCUAAUUAGUGUCUUGAACCUCUGGUUUGCAUGAGAUCAAUCAAAAUUAGGAAAGGCUAGAGGGGGGAGGUUGGGUAGAGACGGUUCGUUCCUAGUUAGGGGGUGUUGUUUUUGUUUCUAGGUAGCAUUACAUGUGAUUGGCAGAUGGAUGUCACUCUUUUCGUAUAAGGGUUGAGAUAUUCCUGAAAUACCUCCAUUUAUUCUAUUCUUUUUUUGUCGAUAAAAAAAAUGAAACAACUUAUAGUUCAAGAAGUGUUGAAGAUCUCACAUUGACUAAAGAUAAUAACAUUUUACCAUAUAUAAGUGGAUGUAAACCUCAUUUUUUAAAUUGGUUUUAUAAGGUUGAGUUCUCUAGUUGUUAAUAAGUUGUUUCAUGGACAAAUCAAAUACCAAUGAAGAAGUUAAAAAAAAAAUUAAUUAUAAAUUAACAAUUUAACAAAACAAAAUGGUAUUGAGAAACAGAUUUUCAACAUUACAAAUUUCUACCACCAAACACUCAUUUUAUAAGUAUUAACUAGGAACUACACAUGCUUAAAUUCCAUUAAUAUUUAUCACAAUAAACUAUAAAAAAAAAAAACCCUUUCAUAAUAAAGUAUAUAUCACACAUUAUAUCUACUUUAUUUUCUCCGAUAACAUUAUGAGAAUGACCUACAAUCCCACGAAAUACAAUUUACAAGGUAGACGUUAUAAAAUUAGCAAAAGUGCUUUGAGGUUGGUUUUGGUUGCGAAGCAUGUGAUUAAACUCCUUCGCAAACCUCUCCAUAGCUUCAGCAGGCAAGCUAAUCGGAAAUAUUAUUCCUUCUUCUCCUUUUCCAUUCUUAGCAGAACAGAAAUAAGAUGCCCCUGGAAAGCUUCCAGCCCCAGCUUCGGCCACUCCACCAUACACAGCCUCACCCCACCCAAAAUCCAUGGCUCUAAAUUUCACUUGUACCAAAUAUGACACAAUACAAGACCUCACAGUUGUGAAUAAUAAGCUUCGUUCCUUCAUCACCAUCAAGUCGGCAACAGAUUGCAAGUACUCUUCUUUCAUCUCACCUUUCACUUUAUUUAUUAACUCCACUGCAUACCCAAAUGGGUUUUGGCAAAGCUUCCCUGCACUCGUUACUGCCGCCGGAUAUGCAAAAGCAUUGCCGUAGUAACCAACUGGUAGUGGAGGAUUGAACCGACCACGUGCGUUAACUAUGCACAUCAUGCGAACAUCCUCAUUCGCCUCUAUCUGCAUUGCUUUUGUGCGACAUCGCCAAAGACAUGCUGCGAUAAGAUCAAAUGUGGAGCAAUGUUGAAGGUGUUGGGGAAUGAAUUUGCGAAGUGCAGCUAUGUCGAGGCGUCCAAAGAAGAAUGAUCGUUGAAUCAAGUUGUGGUUGGAAGAAGGGAGGAUAUCUUGGAUUUGCUCGUAUUCGCGGUGGUUGCGUGUAAUGCGAGGUGGAUCUCUUGCCAUUAGGAGCUCCCUACGCCAUACUGGUGCAAUGGAAGGUUUUGUUGCUCCUCUAGCCAUUUCGGCCCAAGCGUUCAUGAAUUGUUGACAACCAAAAGCAUCAACCAUGGUGUGGUUAAAUUGGAGGGCUAAGAUGAAACCACCACACUUGAGUCGUGUCACCUGCAUUUAUAUUUCAUUUUCAACAAAUUAGACAAUUUCAUUGUUUAACUCUCACAUUUAUUAUGAAAUUCUAAUAUAUAUUUAAGAUAUCAUAAUUGAAAUUGUGUAACUUAAGAAAAAUGAGCUAAAAUGAAAAUGUGAUAUGUCAAUUUAAUUAUUUAAUUUUAGUAAACUAAGCACUUGUGCACGUGAUUUUAGUGAUUUUUUUUUAUUUUGAAGAAUAAGUGAAUAAUAGAUAAAAUAAGAUUUUAAAAUGCAAUUCACAGUAUUAAAAUAGGAGUUAGAGAUGACCUCAACCAUAAAUUGUUGCAUAUUUAUUUAAAUUAAAACGAAUUUAAAGAUUUUAAUAAAAAGUUAUAAUCUGGUUUUUGAUAUUCUAUUAGACAGGUAACAAUAAUACUUAUUAACAAAAAAAAAACUUAUUAACAAUAUUAUUGAAUUAAAAUAAUUUUGUAAUGUUAAAGUGAUAAAACAAAAGCUGAACUGCAAAUAACUACAACAAAAAAUUAACUUAAAAUUACUAAAACCAGUGGAAAGCCGUGAAUCUUACAUCUUAUAAAUUAAAACAAAUUUGUCAUGGAUUUUAGGUAACAGAUAUCACACAUAAAAUAAAAUUAAACAAAUGAUUAAUGAAUUAUAAAAACAAGAAUCAAAAGUGUUCUUCCAAUACAUUCGACAUAUACCUGAAAUAAAUAAAAAAUAUAAAAUGAAUAAAACGUGUCUUAGUUUGAUGAGUAUGUGUAGUGAACCUGUACGAGUAGAAGGGGAGUGUUGGUAAUUUGUUGUGAGCCAGGAACAUCGUACAGCAGUUCAUCAAAGCAUGGAAAUGGAGGUUGGAGAGAAUCACCAAACUCAGCCAGUGUGACGUCAGCAUCACCCUCCAUGAACAUGACACCUUCUCCAGUGCAAUCCACCAUUAGUUUGCGCUGAGGUCCCUCCCUAAGCCUACCCGCAAAUGGGUAAUAGAAGACAAGUGUUUGUGACAAUGCUUUCCGAAUCACUUCAACUGGGUCUUUCUCUGCCAUUGAUGCCUGCUUUCUAUAAAUUUGUAUCAUUGGAAUGUGGAAACGCAGGGCUUCUUGAUCAUCAAUGUCGGAAAGUAGCUUGAGUUCAUGAGGAGUGGGGAUAGCAGGAGCCACCAGCUGGGGUUGGGACCUUCGCACUGUAAACUUUAGAGAAGAAGAAGAAGAAGAUGAUGAUAAAGAUGAGGCCAUGAGAAUUAUGAGAGAAGAGAAGAGAAAUUAAGCAAGUGGAUUUUGGUUGAGUGAAUGUGAGUUCCUAGGGCUCAGCCUGCAACCCUUUAUAGAUGGAAAUCAUUCUCAUUAAAUAAAUACGAAACACGUUUUCAUGACGAGCAAUAAUACUUUCUAAGACUUCAAAACUAAAAGAUUAUUCAUAAUUUUUUUUAUGAAAUAAACAAUUUUAAAAUUAUAUUAACCUAAUUACAAUUAUAAACUGGGAAUUUUCAAUUUUCAGAUGACAAUAUUUUUCAAACUAACAAUAAUCUGAAAUGAAAGUGUAUUACUCUUGGAUGCAUAAUAAAUCUUUCUCUUUCAUGAUAACAUAAGAUAAACAAUACCGAAUAUUCUGAAUAUUAUAACUUAAGAACAAAAUAAUUUUUAACAAUGCUAUUUUAAUUCUUAAAAUUAAAAUAAUUUUAAUAGUAAAUUUGUCUCUUAUAAUUUAAUAGAGUAUUAUUACAAAGUGGACUUUAAGCCUAACUCAAUCCCAUAAAACUGGCUCAUAAGGUUGAGGUUUGCACCCACUUAUAUAUAAUGAAAGGCUCUAAUAUCUAGUCGAUGAGGGAUCUUCAACAAGUAUAAUUAUGACAUUAUUUAAGUUUUUAGUUGCUUAAAUAUUAAAAUAAAAUUUUAUUUUUUCAUGAUUAAAUUCAAAUUAUUUCAUGUAUCUAGAUAAUCAUUCAUUAUAAGAUAUAGACAUUGAAGUGUAUUAUUAUUAUUAAACUAAAGUUUAUAAAUAUAAAAUAAAGUUAAACAUAAGUUUGCAUAUAAGAUUAUUUAUGAAAGGUCAUACAUCAAUACGAAAAUGGACCCAAAGUGUCACACAGCCACAAUAUAACCUGACCUUAUCAAGUGCUUACCAGUCAAAGAAUAUUUGGUAUCCAUGGUUUUGCAUUUUUCAUAUUUUGUGUGUGUGGAAUCACAAUGGAAGAUCUUCUUUUUUAUUUAUUUUACUUCUGCAUAUUUACGUAUUCCUAUCUCUUUAAAUUGAAUUUUCUUUAUAUCAAAUCACACAAAUAAAUUUAAUAUUAUAUACCAAUUGCACUACAAGAAAAACGCGAAUUACAUACAGAUUAUUACAUACGGAUUAAAAUCCGUAUGUAAAAUCAACAUUACAUACGGAUUAAAAUCCGUAUGUAAUUUUUGGCGCCAUGCAGGAUUUUUUCCGUAUGUAAAUAUUAGCACCAUAAAAUAAAAUUAGCAGUGAAUGGGAUUCGAAACCAGGUUCCUUCAGCAAUCCUUCAGCAACCAAGUAAAAUUUAACCACUACACCAAGCAAAUUCUUUAGUUUUAUUAUGAUUUUUAUUAUACUUAUUAUUAUUAAUAAUACUAACAAUAUUAAUAAUACAAACAAUAUUAAUAAUAUUAACAAUAUUAACAAUAUUAAUAAUAUUAACAAUACUAACAAUAUUAAUAAUACUAACAAUAUUAAUAAUACUAAAAAUAUUAAUAAUACUAACAAUAAUAAUAAUACUAACAAUAAUAAUGAUACUAACAAUAUUAACAUAUGAAUCACAUUUAAUUUAUCUAUAAUCUACUUGAAUCUAAACAUAAUUUAUUAUAUUAUCUAUUAGUAUGAAUCAAAUUUAAUAUAUGUCAUACUCAUAGUCAUCAUAUUACCUNNNNNNNNNNNNNNNNNNNNNNNNNNNNNNNNNNNNNNNNNNNNNNNNNNNNNNNNNNNNNNNNNNNNNNNNNNNNNNNNNNNNNNNNNNNNNNNNNNNNNNNNNNNNNNNNNNNNNNNNNNNNNNNNNNNNNNNNNNNNNNNNNNNNNNNNNNNNNNNNNNNNNNNNNNNNNNNNNNNNNNNNNNNNNNNNNNNNNNNNNNNNNNNNNNNNNNNNNNNNNNNNNNNNNNNNNNNNNNNNNNNNNNNNNNNNNNNNNNNNNNNNNNNNNNNNNNNNNNNNNNNNNNNNNNNNNNNNNNNNNNNNNNNNNNNNNNNNNNNNNNNNNNNNNNNNNNNNNNNNNNNNNNNNNNNNNNNNNNNNNNNNNNNNNNNNNNNNNNNNNNNNNNNNNNNNNNNNNNNNNNNNNNNNNNNNNNNNNNNNNNNNNNNNNNNNNNNNNNNNNNNNNNNNNNNNNNNNNNNNNNNNNNNNNNNNNNNNNNNNNNNNNNNNNNNNNNNNNNNNNNNNNNNNNNNNNNNNNNNNNNNNNNNNNNNNNNNNNNNNNNNNNNNNNNNNNNNNNNNNNNNNNNNNNNNNNNNNNNNNNNNNNNNNNNNNNNNNNNNNNNNNNNNNNNNNNNNNNNNNNNNNNNNNNNNNNNNNNNNNNNNNNNNNNNNNNNNNNNNNNNNNNNNNNNNNNNNNNNNNNNNNNNNNNNNNNNNNNNNNNNNNNNNNNNNNNNNNNNNNNNNNNNNNNNNNNNNNNNNNNNNNNNNNNNGAAUAUUAAUACUAAUAAUAUUAAUACUAAUAAUAAUAUCAAUAAUAAUAUUAAUAAAUAUUAAUAAUAAUAUGAAUAUUAAUACUAAUAAUAAUAAUAAUAAUAUUAAUAAUAUUAAUAAUAAUAUUAAUAAUAAUAAUAAUAAUAAUAAUAAUAUUAAUAAUAUUAAUAAUAUUAGUAAUAAUAUUAGUAAUAAUAUUAAUAAUAUUAAUAAUAAUAUUAAUAAUAUUAAUAAUAAUAUUAAUAAUAUUAAUAGUAAUAUUAAUAAUAUGAAUAAUAAUAUUAAUAAUAUGAAUAAUAAUAUUAAUAAUAUUAAUAAUAAUGUUAAUAAUAUUAAUAAUAAUAUUAAUAAUAAUGUUAAUAAUAAUAUUAAUAAUAAUAUUAAUAAAUAUUAAUAAUACGAAUAUAAUGUUAAUAAUAAUAUUAAUUAUAACAUUAAUAAAUAUUAAUAAUAUUUAUAAUAUGAAUAUAAUGUUAAUAAUAAUAUUAAUUAUAACAUUAAUAAAUAUUAAUAAUAUGAAUAAUAUUAAUAAAUAUUAAUAAUAUAAAUAUAAUUUAUUUUAUUAUUAUUAUUAAUAAUUAUAUUAAUAUGUAUAAAUUAUAUUAAUAUGUAUAAGUAUAAUAAAAAUGAUAAUAUGACCAAAGAACUUGUCUGGUCUAGUGGUCAAUGCUUCCCCUGGUCACUGGAAAGACUUGGGUUCGAAUCCUGGCUGCUGCAGUUUGCUUGUAACAUUAUUUGGGGCUUGGUUUCGAGUCCUAGCCAGUGCAAAAUGCCUCUAGGAUUAAUAAAAAAAUAUAGAUAAUGAUAAAUAAUAAUUAGUAAUAAUGAAAAAAUUAAAAAAAAAAUUUACAUUACAUACGGAUUUUAGGUCUUACAUACGGAUUUUGACUGUAUGUAAUUCCAAGUUUUCUUGUAGUGUUGCUAAAUUCAUUCAUAUCUAAUAUUAGAAACAAUGUUGAUAUUUACCCCCGAUAAAAUUAUUGUGAGUAUUAUUACCAAAUACGAUAUAAUUUUCCCCGUUAUAUUGAACCUCUCUUUGCAUUUUGUUAAAGUUGAUGUGAGAAAAAAAAAAACAUGUAGUCUGAUCACGGUGAAGAACGUAAAAAUUGUGUAAAAUUAAAAAAAGUCACAGUAAGUUGUAAAAUUAAAAAAAAAUCACAGUAAGUUGCCAGAGGCCGUGAAUUUAAAAUUUGAUAUUAAAUUUUUUAUAUGUUGAGAGUUAUUGAAAGAAUCUUAUCCACGAAAAGAAAAGAAUGAAUGUAUACCACUUAUAUUUCAAUAUUUUGACAAUCAUCACGCAAAACAGGUGCCACAUUUGACACAUUUAACGAGAAGUGAUGUGUCUCAGAAGACGAAGACUUUUCUCACAAUCAUUCAUUACUGUGUUCGUACUAUGAAACAUUAAUUGUCUGUUUGUUUUUGGACAGAAAUACUAAAACUUAAAAAUUCAACCAAAAAUAUCAACAUUUAAACUUUCGGUUUAAAAGUGCGAGAAGAAGAUGUGGCAAAAAAUAAUCAAAUAAACAAACUCGAUUCCAGAAUCCUAUGAAUUAUGGUAAUUGCGUACUAUGUUUUGCUGAUCAUACACACCAAAUUUAUUUUAAAAUAUAAAAUAAUUUGAGAUGGAUAAAUUAGAAAAAUGAAAAAUAUUAUUAUUUUUUUAUUAGGUUAAGGGUGUUCACAAAUUUUGUACAUGUAAAAGAAAAACAUUCCCAUCAAAAUUAAGAGUAAGAAAGGAUUGUUACGUACUUCAGUAAUAGUGGUGGUGGUUAGCUACUUCUUUUGUGUGUUAAUAAGAGUUAAUAGGUGAAAGAAUCUUAUCCACGAAAGAAAAAGAAUGAAUGCAUACAACAAGUAUUACUUAUAUUUCAAUAAUUUGACAAUCAUCACGCAAAGAACGUGCCACAUUUAACACAUUUAAUGAGAAGUGAUUUCUGACCAGACGUUCACCAAUACAAAAACCAUUCCUUCCCGUGGUGUUCUUACUAUGAAACAUUAAUUGUCUGUUUAUUUUUCGAUAGAAAUAGUCAAACCUUAAUGCUCUGUUUGUAUACAGUAUUUGUACCUUAAUGCUCUGUUUGUAUACGAUAUUUGUUUCUAGUCAUCUAGACAUAUGUAAAGGCAAAGAAAGAUGAAUGAAGAUAUAAGGUAUCUUCUAUAGUCGAAGAGAAAGUGAAACACAGCAUACAAAGGCUCUCAAAAAAUAAUUUUCUUAUAUUAAUAAUAAUAAAAAUAAUUAUUAAUAUUACUUUUUUAUAAAAAAAAAUAUACUUAAUAUAUAUAUAUAUAUAAUAUAAUAUAAUGUAAUUUAGAUUAAUAAAAUAAAAUAAUAUAAUUAUAUUUAAUUUUUUAAUUUUAUUUCUUUAUUUUAAUUUUACAUUAUUUUAUUUUUUAUUUAUAAUUGUAAUUUUAUAUUAUUUUAAUCAACUAAAAUAUCCACAAAAUUAAUUAUUAUUAGAAUUAGUUUUAUUUCAGAUAUUCAUUUAAGUAGGAUAUUAAGUAAAUUAGAAUUUGUAUAAGCAUUUGUAUAUGUUUUGUUUUUGGUUGACUAAUAAUCCAUCUUUCCUUAUAGGCUUUGGGAUAUUGGUGAGCAGAGAUGUGUGCAUUCUUAUGUUGUUCAUACAGAUUCAGUAACAUUUAGUCAUGUUUAUAGUUUCAGUGAGUGUCCUUUUGUUGUGAAAAUUAAUAAUUUUAAUAGGUUCCUGUAUGUAAAGAACCUACCUUCACUAACCUGGGUACACCUGGAAUAGUACAACAUGAAGUUUUGAAUAAUAAGAGGCAUGUGUUGACGAAGGUAACAGUGGUGUUUUCUGGUCAUUUUUUGUGCCAUGCAUAUUGAUAGUUCGUUGGUGUCAUCCAUUUUUGUGUGAAAUUAAUAUCCUUUGUCGUUACUGGGAAUCCUAACAUGCAUGGGAAUCCUAUUUGCUGUAAUGAGUUGUAUUUUCACUAUUGUCUGAAUGUUCAUUAUUGGUACCACGAGUAACUUUAAUUUUUGCUAAAAUUGUGCUAUGAAACAUGUUUUAGAUUUUAAUUGAUUUUUUUAUUUAAUCAAGCACGAUUUGUUUUUUUUUUAAACUUUUUUAUUUGUUUUUGUUGAAAUCUAAUUGGGAAGAUGACCUAACCUUGGUUUUUUUGUUUGUUUGUUAAAAUCUACUUUCAAGCACGUUUUCAACUUUAAUUUUUUCUUUUUAUUUGUCAUUUCUUUUUGUUUUAUACCUAAAUGAUAUUUAGUUUUUUGAAAAGUUUUUAUUUAAUUUUUUUACUUUAGUUUUGCAAAUUGUUUCUUAUUUAAUGUAUUUGUUUUUAUUAACUUAAAUAUUUGUUUGACAAUCCAAACAUAUUUCCAUUAACAUUCGUAAUUGGACAAAGGAAGCUUUGAUUUGCUUCUUCUAAUUAUUGUUAAUAUUAUUACACCUCAAUAAAUUUUAGGCUUGAUAUUAAAUAAAAGACCAACUAUUUUGUUAGCACUAUAAUAUGAAGUUGUUGGAAGACAUAGGGUUAGUAUAGUGCAUAUACAAUAUAUUACUUUCAACUUCAACUAAAUAUUCAAAGUUAAAGACAUGUUUUAGCCCAAUGGCACAUGCUGGUAUGCAAGCUGCUUUGACAUGUAGGCUCUGGCACAUACUGGUUCAGGAAUUUUUUUUUAGCAUGUUUUGGUGAUGUGGGUUUGCUGAGAAAGCGUGCUCGGGAACCUAUUUUUUUGGAGUUAGGCUAUGUUAUUGUCAUAUUCUAGUCUCCUUUAGAAGCAUAGGAUUGGUUAGUUGGUUCUUUGGCUCACUAUUUUCACCUUAUUUUGACUUGAAACUUUGAUACAUGCUCUUGAGAUUAGUUUUUUUUUUUAUGUAUAAGGUUGUCUCACAUUUUUCUGAAGAGUCACUUCAAAUUUACAAAAUUCUUUGUUGACAAAAAAAAAUAUAUAAGUAAUGUAAAUCACAUUUUAUAAAUUAAUUUUAUAAAGUUGAGUUAUCAAUUUCUUAAUAAGUUGUUUCAUGGACAAAUCAAAUAACAGUGAAAAAGUUUAAAUAAAAAAGAUAAUUAUAAAUUAACAAUUUAACAAAACAAAAUGUUAUUUAGAAACAAAUUUCUACCACAAAACACUCAUUCUUAUAAAAGUUUAAAAAUUACAUAAAUUUCAUACAAAAUAUCUCCAUUUUGUUAAAUUAGACCAUGUUACCCACUAGUAAUGCCUAAGAACUACACCUGCUAAAAUUUCAUUGAUAUUUAUCACAACAAACCAGUACAUUUCUUCAUAAUACAAAAUAUAUCUCACAUUAUAUCUACUUCUUUUCUUCGGUCACAUUAUGAGAAUGACCUAUAAUCCCAUGAAAUACAGUUUACAAGGUAGACCUUAUAAAAUUAGAAGUGCUUUGAGGUUGGUUUUGGUUGCGAAGCAUGUCAUUAAACUCUUUGGUAAACCUUUCCAUAGCUUCAGCAGGCAAGAAAAUCGAAAAUGUCAUUCCUUCUUCUCCUUUUCCAUUCUUAGCAGAACAGAAAUAAGAUACCGCUGGAAAGCCCCCAGCCCCAGCAUGGGCCACUCCACCAUAGAUAGCUUCACCCCAACCAAAAUCGAUUACUCUAAAAUUCGUACGUGCCAAAUAUGAUACAAUAUAAGACCUCACAGUUGUGAAUAAUAAGCUUCGUUCCUUCAUCACCAUCAAGUCGGCAACAGAUUGCAAGUACUCUUCUUUCAUCUCACCUUUCACUUUAUUUAUUAACUCCACCGCAUACCCAAAUGGGUUUUGGCAAAGCUUCCCUGCACUCGUUACUGCCGCCGGAUAUGCAAAAGCAUUGCCGUAGUAACCAACUGGUAGUGAAGGAUUGAACCGACCACGUGCGUUAACUAUGCACAUCAUGCGAACAUCCUCAUUUGCCUCUAUCUGCAUUGCUUUAGUGCGACAUCGCCACAAACAUGCUGUGAUAAGAUCAAAUGUAGAGCAAUGUUGAAGGUGUUGGGGAAUGGAUUUGCGAAGUGCAGCUAUAUCGAGGCGUCCAAAGAAGAAUGAUCGUUGAAUCAAGUUGUGGUUGGAAGAAGGGAGGGUAUCUUGGAUUUGCUCGUAUUCGCGAUGGUUGCAUGUAAUGCGAGGUGGAUCUCUUGCCAUUAGGAGCUCCCUACGCCAUACUGGUGCAAUGGAAGGUUUGGUUGCUCCUCUAGCCAUUUCGGCCCAAGCGUUCAUGAAUUGUUGGUAACCAAAACCAUCAACCAUGGUGUGGCUAAAGCGGAGAGCUAAGAUGAAACCACCACACUUGAGUCGUGUCACCUGCAUUUAUAUUCCAUCUUCAACAAUUCAGACAAUUUCAUUGUUUAACUCUCACAUUCAUUACGAAAUUAUUAUAUCUAUAUCUAUAUAUAUAUAUAUAUAUAUAUUUAUUAAGAUAUGACAACUUUAAUAACUUUAAGACAAAUUAGCUAAUUAUUUAGUUUUAGUAAACUAAACACUUUGCACGUGAUUUUAGUGAUUUUUUUAUUUUGAAAAAUAAGGGAAUAAUAGAUAAAAUAAGAUUUUAAAAUACAAUUAACAGUAUUGAAAUAGGAGUUAGAGAUGACCUCAACCCUAAAUUGUUGCAUAUUUAUUUAAAUUAAAACGAAUUUAAAGAUUUUAAUAAAAAGUUAUAAUCUGGUUUUUGAUAUUCUCUUAGACAGGUAACUAAUACUUAUUAACAAUAUUAUUGAAUUAAAAUAAUUUUGUAAUGUUAAAGUGAUAAAACAAAAACUGAACUGCAAAUAACUACAACAAAAACUUAACUUAAAAUUACUAAAACCAGUGGAAAGCCGUGAAUCUUACAUCUUAUAAAUUAAAACAAAUUUGUCAUGGAUUUUAGGUAACAGAUAUCACACAUAAAAUAAAAUUAAACAAAUGAUUAAUGAAUUAUACAAACAUGAAUCAAAAGUGUUCUUCCAAUACAUUAGACAUAUACCUGAAAACAAUUUUUUUUUAAACAGCACCAUUACUGUUACCAUUGCUGAACCACACUUUUAACAAAAAAAUGUUGCAUGAUACAACAUUAUGAAUAAGCCUAAAAAUAGUAAAGUUCACCAAAGAUUGCACGACUUUGGUUUAGUUUAUCUUUCAACAAACAAAAAUCAUCUUGCACACGACUUUACUUAAUUUGUUAUACUAAAUAAAACCUUUCUGUUUGACACAAGUUAAGUAUUUACGUAAUUAGAAAGCAUUUAAAUCAUUGAAUUUCACUUAAAAUUUCGGAACUAGUAAAACUCCCAAUUCAAUAUAGAUCUGAAAUCUAUACUAGAAAGCGCAUUUGAGUUCUUUUUUAUAUUUUCCUUUUUUUAGAAACAAAUUUCAAAAUAUGGUAUAGAUUUUGACAGAAUUUAAUUGGGGAGUAACAAAUAAUUAUAUCAGAAAUCAGUUUUUUAAAAAUUAAAAAAAAAAUAUAGAAAAUGAAUAAAACGUGUCUUAGUUUGAUGAGUGUGUAGUGAACCUGUACGAGUAGAAGGGGAGUGUCGGUAAUUUGUUGUGAGCCAGGAACAUCGUACAGCAGUUCAUCAAAGCAUGGAAAUGGAGGUUGGAGAGAAUCACCAAACUCAGCCAGUGUGACGUCAGCAUCACCCUCGAUGAACAUGACUCCUUCUCCAGUGCAAUCCACUAUUAGUUUGCGGUGAGGUCCCUCCCUAAGCCUACCUGCAAAUGGGUAAUAGAAGACAAGUGUUUGUGACAGUGCUUUCCGAAUCACUUCAACUGGGUCUUUCUCUGCCAUUGAUGCUUGCUUUCCAUAAAUUUGUAUCAUUGGAACUUGGAAACGCAGGGCUUCUUGAUCAUCAAUGUCGGAAAGUAGCUUGAGUUCAUGAGGAGUGGGGAUAGCAGGAGCCACCAGUUGGGGUUGGGACCUUCGCACUGUAAACUUUAGAGAAGAAGAAGAAGAAGAUGAUGAUAAAGAUGAGGCCAUGAGAAUUAUGAGAGAAGAGAAGAGAAAUUAAGCAAAUGGAUUUUGUUUGAGUGAAUGUGAGUUCCUGGAGCUGAGGCUGCAACCCUUUAUAGAUGGAAUGCAUUUUCAUCAAAUAAAUUCGAAAGACGUUUUCAUGAUGAGCAAUAAAUUCUAAGUACUUUUUCAUAUAGAGUAGAUAUGUUGAAAAUUAAGUCCUAUCUUCUUAUACGUUAUUGUUGAAAAAAAAAUCAUUUUUGAUAAAAUAGAUAAAUUUAAAAUUAUAUUAACUAAAUCACAAUUUACAAUUAAUUUAGUAAAUGCUAUAAUAGCUAAAAAAAUAACCUUUUGAUAAAAUGAAUAAUUUAAAAAUUAUAUUAAUCAAAUCAAAAUUAUAAAUUAUUUCUUUUAUAUACAAGUUUUUUUUAGGCUGACACCAAUUAAAAUUUUGAUCAAUUUAUAAUAUAAAUAAAAAUAUUAGUUAUAUAAUAUAAUAAAUUAAUUUAAAUUUAAAUGAAUAUUUUAAUAAUAUUAGUUAUGUACUUUCCCUAUCAAAUCAUUUGGUUAUUACACGAGGAUUCCUCUUAUCCACAAAAGAGAAAGAAUGGAUGUAUACCACUUACUUAUGUUUCAAUAAUUAAUAGACAGUCAUCAGGCAAAGCACAUGCCACAUUUAAUGUGUGACAAGACGAAGACGUUACCAAUACAACAAACAUUUACAUUACCGUGGGUGUUUUAUGACGUGAAACAUGUUUGGAUUUCAAGAUAGAACAUUUUUUCUCUAUUUUUACUUUUAUUUCUUUAUUUAGUAUUUUUUUCUAUUUAGUAUUACUUUUUUUCCUCGUAUACUACUAUUUCUAUUUUUAAAUAUUUAUAAAACUGUAAUAAAUUUUAAUAUUUAUAAACUUGAAAUAGAAGAAAAUUUCAAAAGAUAUAAAUAUAAGUAAUAGUAAAAAUUAAAAAAAAAAUUGUUUGAAAAAAAUAUUAACAGAAUGGUUUAAAAAAUUAUAAAUAAAAAUUAAGUUAUUUAUGAUAUGUAUAUAAAUAAAUAAAUUUAUUAUUAGAUUUAAUAAAAUAAAUAAAUGUAUAAAUUAUAAUUUUAAAAUAAAAAUUUAGAAUAAUGUUAUAUUUAAAUUAAAAAAUUAUAUAAAUAAUAAGUUAUAUAUAGAUAUAUGUCAUAAAUUAUAAUAAAAAAUAUGAUUAUAUUAUGAUUUUUAUAAUUUUUUUAGGAUUAAAGGUUAUGGUUUAGAGUUUAGGAUUUAUGGUUUAGGGUUUAUAUUUAUUUUACUCAUAAUAUUUACUUACAUCAAAUAUCUAUAAAAUAUUUUAUUUUAUUUUCAUUAUAUUGAUAUUUUAUUCAUAAAUUUUUAUAUAUUUAUUUUUUAUUUUUUUAUUUUUUUAAUUUUUCUUCUAUUUUAAUUUUAUAAAUAUUUAAAUUCACUAUAAUUUUACAAAUAUUUAAAAGUGAAAAUAGUGUUAUUUAAGGGGGGAAAAAAGUCAGAAACAGUACUAGAUAAGGAAUAAAAACAAAAAUGUGUUGGAUGGAAAAAUAAAAGCAAAAAUAAUGCUAUUUGAGAAAAAAAAAUCUUCCAAGAUAAUUUUGAAUAUGGGAAAGAGUGAAAAUGUAAAGAUUUAAGAGUAUGUAAUAUUUUUUUGGAUUUAGUUUUUUUUUCCUUAAUCAACAAGAAAUAAAAUAAACCGAAGGAUGUCUCAACCCUUAUACCAACUAUUACAACAUAUACAUAAAACACCCAAAAAUGAUAUAACAAGAAAAGUUAUUACAUAAGAGAAACAAGAUGUAGGAUCUACCACACAAACACCCAAGAGUUGCAAGAGUUGCAGAGAAAAUACAAUUGAAUCCUUAGGUACAAGACUAACACAUAAAACUGCUGACAGAAACUUGGCAAAUGUUAGAAUGAUACCUAGCUCCUUCAUUGUUCCAUAAUAUUGCACACACACUCCCACCACCUGCUUGUGCUUUUGUCACACCAAAAAAGGAACUUUAAAGACCCGCCCUACUUCCUUAUUGAAUUCAGUUUCUUACCCCUGCGUCUCAGUUACUUGGUCUUUCGUCUUGGGGCUGCAGAUUUAAAAUCCUUCAAAAACUAGAGUCUCUCAACAUCUUCUCCAUAGCAGAUACUCACCACCAACCUAAAUCUGUCAGUCCCUAUUUUUUCACUACGAACCAGAAACAAGAUAAACAUUUGAUAAACAAUGCUACCUGCAUAAUUGUAUAGCAAACUAUAAAGCAUAAAAUACCUGCAUAAUUAUGCAGCAUGUACCAGCAGCUUUUGGGAGUGUAGCUAGAAAGUAGAAGAUGGUUCAUGGUUGGCAUACAGGAACACACCCAGUUAGUGAACCAGAAUGCCCGUGUAGUUCCUUGUUUGCUUGGUGUACCAGCCCCAUCAAGAGAUAGGAUGUGGCACCAAAUUUCUUGCUCCAACAUAUUACCGUAUCCUAAUUCCUAUGUAGCACAGAUACGAACGGACACUGACACGAUACGGAUACGGAUACGAAGAUACGUAUAAUCUCUAAAAUGUGUAGGAUACGGGGACACGGAUCUUUAUAUUAUAUAAUUUUGAAUUAUAUAAAUUGAAAAUAAAUAUUUAUGUGCAAAAGUAUGUCUUAAAUUCUUUUGGGAGCAAGAAGAUAUUUUUCAUGAUUGGUUCAAAAGAAUUUGUUAUUUAUUUUUAUAAUCAUAAUAAAAAUUUAUACAAUAAAUUUGAGUUUUUAGAAAAUUAUUAUAUUUAUACCUUUUAAAAUUGUGUUAGAACCGUGCUAGAAUUUUUAAAAAUCCAACAAAUAUUUUUUGAAUUGAACACUUCACCGAUAAAUGUCCUACGAGUGUCAUUUAAGAGAAGUGUCCGAGCCUCAUAGCCUAAUUCACUCCACCAUGUAACCAAUACUCUGCCUAUGUUGAUCACUUGCUGCUCAUUUGUGUUUGCUGCUAUCUUCCUUGCACUUUCCAACCUGUGUCAACGUUCAACUAGAAACUGCCUCUCCUCAUACAGUCCCUUUCCUCCUCCUAGCAUUUCCUUCUCUACCACAAAUGAGACAUAAAGAUGGAAGCACAACACAAAGAUGGUCAACCACAAGUGCAUAAUCGUUGUUGUCGCUGCACCAUCCUUCCUCGAUAAAACAAGGGGGUAGGGAGGUACUAAAGAGAGAACCCCGCCACCACUGGCACCAGACACCCGCUAAACCUGAACAUCACUAGGUGAAAUCAACUGUUCCUCCAAAACAUCAACUGCAAUAUAUGAUAGUUGAGAAAAAAUUUAGAAAUGAUUUUAAAUAUAUAAACUUACUUUUAUUAUUAAAAUAUAUUUGAAUAAUAAAUUAUAAUAUUUUUUUAUUUUUUAUUUAAUUAAUUUUUUUUAACAUACAAUAUUCAUAAUUGUAAGUAUUUUUUAAUGAAAAUUAAAAAUAUAAUACAAAAUAAUUUUGUAUUUAAUUAAAAUAAUUGUUAAAUAUAUUAAAAUUUAUAAAAAUAAAAAUAAUUAUUAUUAUUAUUAACAUUUAUUAUUUUAUAUAACUAUAUAUGUUUUUUGAUAUUAUAAUUUUAUUUUAUUAUUUUCAUUAUUUUUAUUUAUAUGUUGUUAUUAAGAGUAGAAUUGAAUAUUUUUGUUAUAUGUAAUAUUUAAAAUAUUAAUUUUGUAUAUUGUAUUAUAUAUAUAUAUAAUUAUAUAAAAAAUUAUAAUAGUAAUAAAAAAAUAUUAUUAAUAGUUUGAAUAAUAUAUAUAUUUUAAAAAUAAUGUGCAAUUUAAAGUAAAAUAUAUAUAAUUGUGCAAUGAGUGAAACUAAAUUCAUUGAAACUUACGUGACUCUUUCUACAAAUCAAUAAAACCAAGCAUCAUUCUCAAGUGUUCAGGUUAUCAAUAGAACCAAACAUAUCAUAAAAAUUAAUAUAGUAAUUAUGAAUAACACUAUAGCAAUUAAUUAUUUUUUAUCUUUAAAAAUUGAUUUUUAUUUUAUAAUUGUUACUAAUUAUAUUUAACAUAUACUUAGAUGUUACAAAGCAUUUAUUUAUUUUUUUCAAUUUUAAAAGUCGCAGAAGUUAUGGAAAAAUCAAUUUUAAAAGAAUUGAUAUUAUUCGAUCUUGGAUUAAUAUUUUGGAUUCUAUCAACAAGUAACCUAACUUUUACAGGUAUAAGAUGGAUUACAGUGUUAUUUUUUUCAUUCAGUAAUUUAGAAUAUUCCAUGAAUAUAGAUCCGAACACAAAGGAAGACAAAGAGAUUAAUUAGGUAAUGGGAUGGAUACUCAUUUUCCAUUGUGUUCCUUCUUUACUUUUACAAUCCAAUGGAAUAUUUUUCUAUUUUUCCAAAUUAUUCCUCCACCAUACCAAUCAAUUUGUACACAUCUUUUAAAUCUUCCAAAAUUAUCAUCUGGAUUUAAAAGUUUGGACUUUCAAUAAGAUAAUUAAAAAAUUAAAAUUGUAUUCUGGAAAAAUAAAUCUGAAAUGCAAAAAAAUACAUUUAAAAAAAUCCAGAAAAAAAAAACUAAAAAUACGUUUAAAACAAAAUUUAAAAUUCAGAAAUGUGUUCUAGAAAAUUUAAAUAAAAAAUAUAUUCUGAAAAAGAAAUUCUAAAAAUAUUUUUUUUCAAUUUGUGUUUUCCCUUUCAUUGUCUUCUCCGUUCCACCACCUAGAAUGAAUCCAAACAUAGCCUAAAGAGAGAAAAUACAGAGAGUUUGAUAGUACAGCUAAACGUUAGACCUGAUAAAAGCAGGGGUUGUUUUAGGGUUGUUUUGGUGGUUGCCACUGAGCAUAUCAUCCAUCUCUUUGAGAAACCUCUGCAUAGGUUUUGCAGGCAACCAAACUGGUAACACCAAGCCAUCUUCUCCUUUUGAAUUCUUAUACGACACAAUGUGUGUUCCUCCAUAAAAGGGUCCAGUACUACCUUUCGCUGGAGCACCACACAAGGCCUUGCCCCAUCCAAAAUCCACGUCCCUAAACCUAGCACGAGUCAGGUCUGAUACCAAACAGGACCUUACAGUUGUCGGCAUGCACCGUCCCUUAAGCACCAUUAGAUCCGCCACAGAAUGCAUAUACUCAUCUGUCACCACACCCUUCACAUUAUGAAUCAACUCCACCGCAUAAGCAAAUGGGCUUGCGCAGAGCUUCCCUGCGCUGCUCGUUGCGGCGGGGUAUGCAAAAGCGUUGCCGUAGUAACCAAUAGGUAACGGAGGACGGAACCUAUUACGCGCGUUCACGAUGCACAUCAUGCGAACAUCCUCAUCUGCGUCUGUUUGCAGUGCUUUUGUGCGACAACGCCAUAAGCAUGCUGUGAUGAGAUCGAAAGCCGUGCACUGUCGGAGGUGAUGGGGAAGCAAGCGACGAAGGGCGGCCAUCUGAGCAGGUCCGAAGAAGAACGAUCGAUGAACCAAGUGGUGGUCGGAAGAAGAGAGGGUGUCUUGGAUUUGGUCGUAUUCACGGUGGUUGCAUGUUAUGCGAGGUGGAUCUCUUGCCAUUAGGAGCUCCCUUCGCCAGAGAGGUGAAAUGGAAGGAGUCUUCAUACCUCGAGCCAUUUCAGCCCAUGCAUGCAUGAACUGUGACAAACCAGCUCCGUCUGCCAUCACGUGGUUCCACCCCGUCGACACCACGAAACCACCACACUUGAGUCGUGUCACCUAUUUAUAAUUUCACGUUAGAGAAUAUUUGGUGAUGAAGUUGUAAAGAGUGCGUAACAGUGAAAGUAGGACCUGGAUGAGUAGAAGGGGCAAUUUUUUGAUAUCUUCGGAGUCUGGAACAUCACAUAGAAAAGCUUUAGAGUAUAUGAAUGGAGGUUGAAGAUUGUCACCAAACUGUUCCAGUGUUACGUCAGCGUCAGCCUCAACGAACAUGACACCCUCUCCACCACAAUCCACCAUCAAUUUGCGGCCACGACCCUCCCUAAGCCUACCCGCAAAUGGGUAAUAGAAGACAAGUGCUCGUGCCAGUGCCUGCCGAAUCACUAUUACUGGGUCUUUAUUCGCCAUUGAUGAUUCAUUUUGAUAGAUUUGUAUGAUUGAAUAAUGGAAACGAAGGUAGCUUUGAUCGUCUAUGUCAGAUAGUAGUUUAGUUUCGUCGGGAGUGGGAAUUGCAGGAGCCACUAGCUCAGGUUGACACUUACGCAUUGUAAAUGACAGAGAGGGAGAUGGUGAAGCCAUGUUUUCGAUCUGAGGAUGUUGUUGCUCAUUUUGGGAAGAGCAAAAAGAGUUAUUGUAAUGUAUUUAAUUUGAAUAAGUCAAUGUUUGAAUUUGGUCAAACUUUUUCUGUCCAUAUUUAUNNNNNNNNNNNNNNNNNNNNNNNNNNNNNNNNNNNNNNNNNNNNNNNNNNNNNNNNNNNNNNNNNNNNNNNNNNNNNNNNNNNNNNNNNNNNNNNNNNNNNNNNNNNNNNNNNNNNNNNNNNNNNNNNNNNNNNNNNNNNNNNNNNNNNNNNNNNNNNNNNNNNNNNNNNNNNNNNNNNNNNNNNNNNNNNNNNNNNNNNNNNNNNNNNNNNNNNNNNNNNNNNNNNNNNNNNNNNNNNNNNNNNNNNNNNNNNNNNNNNNNNNNNNNNNNNNNNNNNNNNNNNNNNNNNNNNNNNNNNNNNNNNNNNNNNNNNNNNNNNNNNNNNNNNNNNNNNNNNNNNNNNNNNNNNNNAGUAAUUAAUAUAAUAAUUAUUUAUUUUUAUUUAGAAGUAAGUUAUAUUAGUUAUUUAUUUUUACUUUAAGUUUAAAUUAAAUUAAGAAAAAAAAAUUCAAAAUGGUAUAAAAAAUUAUUAUUAUCGAAAUAAUUAGUGUUUAUUUGAUAAUCGUAUUUUUUUCUAUUAUAAAUAUUAAUAUUUGUUGUACUCUAAGUCUAUCAACAACAUAUAUGGUCCUUCCAUCAUCACUUUCUGAUGUGAUUUACAAAAUUUCCAUGGCAAAAACUUAAAAGUGUAAUAAAUUUCUAGAUGAUGUUGGAUGUAUUUAAGCUGAGCAUUAAUAUCUCAUCAAAAACAACUAUUUUCACAAUUAAUUAUAUAUUAAUAUUUUAGUCAUAUAUUUUUUAUUAUUUAUAAUUAAUUAAUUAUUAUUAUUAUUUUAAAACCAUUAAAUAAAAAUAAAUUUUAAAAUAAAAUAAUUAAUUAUUAAUUACAUUAAUAAAAUUAGAUAAUAUUUUAAAAAUUAAAAAAAUUAUUUAUAUUAUUAUUAAUAAAAUUUAUAAACUAAUUUAUAAAUAAAUAUCUAAUUAACUAUCUGAUUUUAAUUACUAAUUAAUUUAAAUUCUAAAGUUGAUAAGUAAAAUCAUAAUAAUUAAUUUAAUACUAAAUUAGAAAUAGGUUAUAAAUUUUAUUAAUUAUAAAAAUUAUUUAGAUACUAAUAUUUUUUUUAGUUUCUAAACUAGUAUUUAAAUAUAAUAAUUAAUUAUUUUUUAUUUUUAAAAUAAAGGUUAUAUUAGUUAUUAUUUUUCUUUUAAGUUUGAUUAAAAUUGAAAUUUCAUUCUCCACUAAAAAAUUGAAAAAAGAGAGUUCAAAAUUUUAAGGUAAAAUUUCAAUAAUUUGUAAUUAAAUAACAGAAUUCAAAAGAAUACAAAAAUUUAACAAAUACAUAUAUUGUAUUUUGUCCAUUUGAGGUACACGUUUGAACACCUCAUUUUGAUAAAAGCAAACUGAUCAUGAUAGCGUCCAUCAUUUCUAUGGUGCUCUAUCAACGUUAAAAAUACAAAAAAUAUGUUUUUCCCUCCAUACGGAAACCUAUACUUUAAUAAAUAUUAAUAUUUUAAUUAUUUAUAUUUUUUUAAAUUUUAAAAAUUAUUUUAACAUUUUGUAUUUUGCUUUAAUAAAUAUUAAUAUUUUAAUUAUUUAUAUUUUUUUAAAUUUUAAAAAUUAUUUUAAUAUUUUGUAUUUUAAUUAAAUUUUUAUUUUAUUUUUUUAAUUUAUUUUAAUUACAAAUAUUAAUAUUUUGCAUGUAAAGUGGAAGCUGGAUGAUAAGCACACUUAAAAAUAAUACCUUAACAUCUUAAUAAAUUAAUAUUUUAAUUCAAUUAAAUUUAUUUUAUUUUAAAAUAUUAUUAUAUUAUUCAUAAUUUUUAUGGGUAAUCGCUAAAAAGAACAACUUAACAUCUAAUAAAUUUGUAAGAUUCCUAAUUUUACUCAUUUUAUAUAUAUAUAUAUAUAUAUAUAUAUAUAUAUAUAUAUAUAUUAUGUGAUGNNNNNNNNNNNNNNNNNNNNNNNNNNNNNNNNNNNNNNNNNNNNNNNNNNNNNNNNNNNNNNNNNNNNNNNNNNNNNNNNNNNNNNNNNNNNNNNNNNNNNNNNNNNNNNNNNNNNNNNNNNNNNNNNNNNNNNNNNNNNNNNNNNNNNNNNNNNNNNNNNNNNNNNNNNNNNNNNNNNNNNNNNNNNNNNNNNNNNNNNNNNNNNNNNNNNNNNNNNNNNNNNNNNNNNNNNNNNNNNNNNNNNNNNNNNNNNNNNNNNNNNNNNNNNNNNNNNNNNNNNNNNNNNNNNNNNNNNNNNNNNNNNNNNNNNNNAAAACAUUCAAUUUAAAUUUAUCUAAUCUUCCUGUUGCUCACUGAGGAGCUCUAUUACCUGCAACUUCAUCUGCUCUCGUGUAAUUAAAGAAAACAAACACAAAACAAAGCAUGGGGUAAGCUAGCUAUUUUUAAGAAUUCUAAUAUAAAUUUAACUUUCAAGAACAAACAUAAUCCAUGAAAUUCUCAUAAUUUACACAAAUUCAUCAAAUGUCUAUCACAACUAUCAUCCACAUUAUUCAUGUCAGAUCUUUAUUGACUCACAUACUCAAACACUUGACUCUACUUCCGGAAGACUUGUAUAUUGAAAUUAGAAUCUUGAUACUUGCACCUGUCAUACUAAUCACUGUGAAUCCACACAGCCAUGCGCAUAAACAUCUCAAUAUCUCAUCAUCUAGUAUGAUAGGGUAAAUUCAUAUGACUUGAAAGACCAAAUUAUAUUUCAAAGCAUAAACAAAGUCAUAUGAACCUCCAUCGACUCUCACCAACUGAAUAACUUCAUCUAUUUGAUUCCAUUAUAUCAGUAGAGACAGGAUGUCUCAUUACNNNNNNNNNNNNNNNNNNNNNNNNNNNNNNNNNNNNNNNNNNNNNNNNNNNNNNNNNNNNNNNNNNNNNNNNNNNNNNNNNNNNNNNNNNNNNNNNNNNNCAUAUCAAUAUACCCUAACAACAAUCUCAACACGGUAUUUCCUUUCUUGAAAAUACUAUGUUUGAUCUCACUUUCACCACAUUCAAUAUCUCAUGUAACACAUCAAUACACCAUACAAUCACAACAUAUAAUUUAAACUUUCUAACAAUCCAAAUAUAUCCAAGAAGUUAUUUAACAAUAGUAAUCCAAAAUAAACUAUGCUAAAAUAAUAAUGAUAGUAAUAUCCAUAACAUAGAGCACCAGAAAUUUUGGGUCGAUCGAAAAUAUUUUAGGUUGAUCUAAAUGACACUAGAGAGCACCAUGAAUUUUGGGUUGAUCAAAAAUAUUUUAGGUUGAUCGAAAUGACACCAGAGAGCACCAGAAAUUUUGGGUUGAUCGAAAAUAUUUUAGGUUGAUCGAAAUGACACCAGAGAGCACCAAAAAUUUUAGAUUGAUCGAAAAUAUUUUUAGGUUGAUCGAAAUGACACCAGAGAGCACCAUAAAUAACAAAGUCCCUGCUAUAGCUAAAAUUUAUCUAAAUCAAUAUCAAACGACAUUAUAAUUGUAUAACAACAACCAUAUAUCAAAUUUCACCUUCAAAUCUUCUAGCCUAGUGUUCUAUUGGAAAUUAAGGCUAGCUUCCCUUACCUGAAAAUUAGUAGAUAUUCACCAAGAGCUCCAAAAUCACGAAGAACUCAAAGGUAACUUAACCUGUAUCAGAGAGUCCUAAUAAAAAAUCUAACUAUAUCACUAAGACCCUCAGCUAACAGAGAUUAACCCUGAAGCUAAAAGGGUCACAUGCAAAGCAAGGACAAAAUCAACCUGACAAGUUCAAAAUUUGACUCAAAGAGAAGAGCAAAAAUGAACUUACUCUAUCAGAUAUUCCGAUCGGGCAGUCUUGUAGUACUCACUGUCAGGAGUCUGAUGGUGGACUCUGAUCGUCAAACUGAUGAACGAGGAAGUCAUAAUCUUAGAGAGAAGGGAGAGAAAAGGAAAAGAACUUUCUAAAGAGAUGGUGAUUUUUGUAAGAUGAAACCUGGAUAACUGAAUUUCUAUUAUAUGCCCUUUUCAUUUUAGAUAAAAAAAUAUUCAGGAAUCAUUUAAAAUAUAUCACUUCUACUCUAAAGUAAUUUUCUAAAUCUUACAAAAUUCAUAUUUUAAUUAUAUAUUUUUUUUAAUUUUAAAAUAUUAUUAUAUUCUUAUAAGAAGUUGGGAAGUGGAUAUUUUUGUCAAAAAUAAAUUUCCAAUUUUUAUGGAUCUGCAUAAGAGUGCCCAUACUUUGACACCUUCAAUAAAAUAUUCACAAUUCAAAAUAUUAUUAUUUUAAUUAUAUGGCUUUUAUAUUUUAAUAUAAAUUACAAAUAAUGAUAUUAUUAUAUAUAUUAUUAAAAUAGGUUCUAAAUCCGAAGUGUUUUGUUUUAUAUGGUGUCUUCAUAAAUGCCAGAUCUAGUGAAUCUAAUCUUUGAGAAAGUGUGUUUCAACUAUGCAACGUGCCUAAUUAGUCUCAAAAGUUUUUGUUUCUCACCUUCUUUACUUUGCUAAUCAUAAUGAAAGUUUAAAUCUUUUUCUUACCAGUUUCCUCUUAUUGUGUUAAAAAUGACGUUUUUUUGGAAUAUGAAAAAAAUUACUUUAACUAAAAGGAAAAAGAAAUCACAUGUUUAGAAAAGAAGGUAUGAUUGAAUAAUGGAAACGAAGGUAGCUUUGAUCAUCUAUGUCAGAUAGUAGUUUAGUUUCGUCGGGAGUGGGAAUUGCAGGAGCCACUAGCUCAGGUUGACACUUACGCAUUGUAAAUGACAGAGAGGGAGAUGGUGAAGCCAUGUUUUCGAUCUGAGGAUGUUGUUGCUCACUUUGGGAAGAACAAAAGGGUUAUUGUAAUGUGUUUAAUUUGAAUAAGUCAGUGUUUGAGUUUGGUCAAACUUUUUCUGUCCACAUUUAUCCAAGAUUUAUGUAAAAAUUAACAUGACUAUAACUGUAUAUUGGUGAUUCAGUGGUGCAUGUGGAAGCUAUCACACUAGAUUUUAUGAAGGGCUUGAUUUUUAUGAUCAUUAGAAAAAUAAAUUUUGUAUUUGUAAAAGAAAAAAAAAGAUAAAAAGUAAAAAUAAUAAAUAUAAAAUGGGUAUAAAAAAAUUAUUAUUAUCGAAAUGAUUAGCGUUUAUUUGAUAAUUGUGUACACUUACAAUCAAAUAAAUAUUAAUAUUUUAAUAUAUAAAAAUUCAUAACUUUUAUUAAUUUUGAAAAAAUUAUAACUUUUUUUACGUGUAUUUUAAAGGAUUUUUUUAUUUUUUAUUUAUUGUUUUCUGUUAUAAAUAUUAAUACUGUUGUACUCUCGUAAGUCUAUCAACAUAUAUGGUCCUUCCAUCAUAACUUUCUGAUGUGACUUACACAAUUUUCAUGGCUAAAACUUAAAAGUUGUAAUAAAUUUCUAGAUGAUGUUGAUUGUAUUUAAGUUGAGCAUUUAUAUCUCAUAAAACAAUUAUUUUCACAAUUAAUUAUAUAUUAAUAUUUUAGUCAUAUAUUUUUAUUAUUUAAAAUUAAUUUAUUAUUAUUAUUAUUUAAAAAAUCAUUAAAUAAAAACUAAAUUUGAAAAUAAAAUAUUAUUAUUAAUCGUGUCCACUUACCAUCCCAUAAAUAGGUGUAUGGGACUAACAUUUGUGUACCCAUAGCCUUAGCCAUGAACUGGCUUCUGUUUUGAUGCAGGUAUGGCGUAAGGGGUGUUUACGAGGAAGUUUUAUCGUUAUGCUAAAAGGAAUUGGUGUGCUGGGGGAGAGUAAUUAAUACCCAAAGUGGCCAAAGAGUUAGGUGACGGUGGAUCGGUGCUUUAUGGCACAGUGGUAUGUUUAAAGUGGGGUUUUUGGGAUGUUGCAAAAGUAGCCAUCUGGACAUGCUGCUGGAUUCUUUUAGCACGUAGGCGGUAGUUCAAUCUAAGAUACAAACGGUGCAAGAAAGUUUGAACAAUUGCCUUUGUUGUCUUUUCUCAAAGUUUUUUUUUAUUGGGUAUCUUAGUUCUUUUACUUUUUUUCUUAUUCAAUGUUUUAAAAAAAUGUAUUGCACCCAUACUUUAAAAAAAUACUUAAAUUAUCUUUGACUUUUUAUUGAAUUUUUUUUUUUAAUUUUUUGAUAUUUUUAUUGAACAUUUUUUCUUUAAUUUUAGAAUGUGAAGUGAAGAGAUUUCUCAAAUUAUAGAAAUUGAAAGUUAAAAUUUGUGUUUAGAAUUGAUUGCAUAAUUCAAAAUGUAAAUUUAUAUUUCAUAUUAUAAAAUUUAAAAUUGAUAAUUUUAAAAAAUUUGGUCAUAAAAAUGUUUGUAAUUGUUUGUAAUAAGAUUGGAGUAUCCCUAAAUAGUCUCAUUUAUUAUAUUUUUGUUAUUACUGAUGAGUGAUGAAAACAAUUUGUAUUGUAUUUCCAUAACAAGCUAAUUUUUCUUAGCCUUUCAACCAUACUUAAGACAUGAUUAAGCUAGAAAUUUAUUGUUUCAUAAAUUAUUAGCAAACUAUAAGGUAGCCAUGAUAAAAGUAGGACUCCUUAUGGUAGUAUGGUUUUGAUUCCCAAACAUGUUUUCCAACUCUUUUGCAAAUCUAUUCAUAGCUUUAGCAGGCAACCAAAUUGGUAAGACUAUGCCUUCUUCUCCUUUUGCAUUCUUAUGCAACAUUUGACAGGUUCCUCCAAGAAAGCUUCCAAUCCCAGCUUGGGCCACUCCACCGUACACAGCCUCACCCCAUCCAAAAUUCACUUCUCUAAACCUCCCACGUGUCAAAUCCGAAAUAAGACAAGACCUUACGGUUGUAAACAUGCAUCGGUCCUUAAUCACCAUCAGAUCUGCCACUGAAUGCAUGUACUCUUCUGUCACCACACCUUUCACUUUCUUUAUUAACUCCACUGCAUACCCAAAUGGAUUUUCACAAAGCUUCCCUGCAGUGGUAACUGCUGCAGGGAAUGCAAUAGCAUUUCCAUAGUAACCAACAGGUAAAGGAGGAUUGAAUCUUGCACGACCAUUCACUAUCACGAUCAUUCGAACCUCCUUAUCUGCCUCUAUCUGCAAUGCUUUUGUACGACAACGCCAGAAGCAUGCUGUGAUGAUGUCAAACGUGGUGCAGUGUUGAAGGUGGGUUGGAACCAAGAGACGAAUAGCAGCUAUUUGGGAAGGUCCAAAGAAGAACGAUCGUUGAACCAUGUUUUCGGUUGAUGUGAUGGUGUCUGGGACAUGUUCGUAUUCGCGAUGGUUGCAUGUAAUACGAGGUGGAUGUCUUGCCAU
rnacentral:lncRNA from 1 species